rnacentral:rRNA from 1 species
CUGGAAAGGCGCGCGAUACAGGGUGACAGCCCCGUACACAAAAGCGCAUGUGCUGUGAGCUCGAUGAGUAGGGCGGGACACGUGGUAUCCUGUCUGAAUAUGGGGGGACCAUCCUCCAAGGCUAAAUACUCCUGACUGACCGAUAGUGAACCAGUACCGUGAGGGAAAGGCGAAAAGAACCCCGGCGAGGGGAGUGAAAAAGAACCUGAAACCGUGUACGUACAAGCAGUGGGAGCACCCUUUGGGGUGUGACUGCGUACCUUUUGUAUAAUGGGUCAG